UAAAUAGUAUAAAAAAGGUGCACCAAAGUGUGCAACACAUGAGCAGCAAUUAUGAACAAGUCAACAUUGGCCAUUUUCACUCUUCUCCUGGUUGCAUUGGUAUGCACCAGCAUGGUCGACACCGCGGAACCCAGUCUUGAACAUGGAAGAGACUCCAGCGACGUGGACCGUCGUGGUUGUUACGGACGGUGCGAUCGUGACCGGGACUGCCGCCACUGGUGCCGUUGCAGCCGUUGGGGUCACCGCAGAGGUGGAAGGUGCGUUCGCUAGGCGGUCACUGCCUUCUGCUUUGUUUGCCGCAUCCUGCGGGUGAAGAACGCUGGAAGUGAAGAGAUUCAUGUUCCUAUACAUAAUGUACGACUGCAAAGUUAUAAUGAAAUAAAAUUUGCAGGCAUUGCU